rnacentral:misc_RNA from 1 species
AGCUAGAGAAGCUCUCAAAGAAAGCCAAAUGACUGUGCCCGAGACUCCAUCUCCUGACCAACCAUGUGAUGUUGCAUAUGGUGGGGCGAAGAAGGAGCAUGGAAACUGCAUUGAAAUUGGACCAAGAAAGCGGAUUUCAAGAAUGACAGGAAAUAGUAAUGAACUUUUAAGAGUUCAAAAUGGUGGCAGUCUUCUAUUUGGAAAUGUGGAUAGUGGUUCAAGAUCGCGCUCAGCUG